UGCCAAACUAAAACAAAGGCCUAAUCCAUCA
rnacentral:piRNA from 1 species